rnacentral:lncRNA from 1 species
CCCGCUUCUCUUCUUCGUCCUUACUUUCCACCAACUUAGCAUACGACUCUUUCUUGGUCUCCACUUUCUUCCCCACCUCUUCAUUCCACCACCAAUCUCCCCGAUGAUGUCCGGCCCGGCCCCUAGAAACACCCAACACCUCCCUUGCAUUCUCCCUGAUGCACGUUGCCGCCCUGUCCCACAUAUUAUCCACAUCCCCCCUACACUCCCACACCCCCAUUCCCGCCAACCUCUCCCCUAUCUCCCACGCAUUCACUGGCGUCAAACCGCCCCACUUAAA